rnacentral:rRNA from 1 species
GGUAUGUAAACUUCUAUCAGCAGGGAAGAAAAUGACGGUACCUGACUAAGAAGCCCCGGCUAACUACGUGCCAGCAGCCGCGGUAAUACGUAGGGGGCAAGCGUUAUCCGGAUUUACUGGGUGUAAAGGGAGCGUAGACGGCACGGCAAGCCAGAUGUGAAAGCCCGGGGCUCAACCCCGGGACUGCAUUUGGAACUGCUGAGCUAGAGUGUCGGAGAGGCAAGUGGAAUUCCUAGUGUAGCGGUGAAAUGCGUAGAUAUUAGGAGGAACACCAGUGGCGAAGGCGGCUUGCUGGACGAUGACUGACGUUGAGGCUCGAAAGCGUGGGGAGCAAACAGGAUUAGAUACCCUGGUAGUCCACGCCGUAAACGAUGACUGCUAGGUGUCGGUGGCAAAGCCAUUCGGUGCCGCAGCUAACGCAAUAAGCAGUCCACCUGGGGAGUA